CGCAGCAAGGGCCAGACUCUGCGCUAGCAGGCGCUGCGCGCCAACCGGCCGGCACCUGUCGCAGAAGGUGCAACCGAUCGCACUGUCGCGCAGAAGCUCCUCAAUGGCCAGCGCCAGCUGCAGCCCCGGCCGCCCACUCGCCUCAUCUGAGCCUGGGCAAAUCUGGAUUGGGAAAGUUGACAUUAAUCAACUCAUUAUUCCUCACAGAUUUGUAUUCUCCAGAGUAUCCAGGUCCUUCUCAGAGAAUUAAAAAGCCUGUACAGGUCUAGAUAUUGGUAUUUUUAAUUGAUGAUAAGCUGGAAUAAUAUUAAUACACACAAAGCACGUGUUGUAACUUUCAUUAUGCUUCCUUAGAGCGCUGCUCUAAGCUGUUGAUGAAAAAUAUUGUUGGUGAGCUCUGCUUAGGUAAUAUAUAGGACAUGAGCAGAGAGGAGGCACGUGAACAGUUCUGGCCUGGAGUAGGCUUCAUUGAGGCUGUGAUGCUUUUAGCUGGAUUUGAAGAAGUGGUAGUGAUCAUCCCAGUGCACAGGAUAGGUGGACAGUCUAUGUAUUCUGAGCAGUAACUCAUAUAUCUCAUACUGCAAGACCCCAAAGGAGUAAUUUUGUGAACUCUGUUCACGGAAAGGGCCUGGGAGCUGCAACACCUCAACAGCAACAAGCACACCUGCUACCUAGAACUUGGUUUCUAAAAACCAUCCUCCUCUAAAAGGAAACAGAGCUCUUUGAAGAAACGGGUCUCCCUAUGUUGCCCAGGCUGGCCUCAAACUCCUGGGCUCAAGUUAUCCUCCUGCCUCGGCCUCCCAAAAUGCUGGGAUUGCAGGCAUGAGUGACCGCACCUGGCCACCUUUCCACAUUUAAGAGAUCCCUGGGAUACUGCGAAGCAGGAGUCCAUCUCCAGACAUGAGGAGCAGGUGGGCUAAAGGAAACAGGACUGGGGAGUCUUGGAGGGGCAGAGCAAUGCCCAGGGACACAGAAACUUUUGAAUAAAGACAAGAGAGACCGA
rnacentral:lncRNA from 1 species